rnacentral:ncRNA from 1 species
UACAUACAAGGGCAAACCCGCCGAAAGACGGGGGCGCAAAGCCAGGGCCUAAAGCACUGCUAUGGCCGACCGGCUGCUAUG